AAACCAUGAUAGGGACAUUGUCUUUGUAAACUUUUAAACCUUUCCCAAGCCUCAUAUAAAGACUCAUCAUCCCUUUGGUAAAAAGUGGUGAUCUCAUUUCUCAAUUU